CCCGGUACAAACCGGGCUGCUGGGGUUGUUUUAUCCCCGAGUUAAUGACCAACACCGCCCUCGGUCGCUUCUUUCUCCUCUUCUCCGGUGCUCCGUGCUCGCUUCUCUCCCUUGUUCUCUAAUCUCUACCCUGCCAUGUCAAUUUCCUCCGAUCCGUCGCCGAUCCUAAUCGAUUGACUUCCUUUACUUCGCCAUUAACUUCGCCUCAUCUUCUUCACCGGCGCUCGCUCGCUGUCGUUCGCCCUCUCCUCUUGUGGUCUUUCCUAGGGUUUAGGGUGAGGCUCUUGCCCUAGGGUUUGUGGACGAUCGAAGGCGACGGGGAGGCUCUGGGAGGACGGCGUUCUUCAAUUUCCUGGGAGGGAAGGACUUGGCUCUAGAGAAGUCGGGAAGGAAAUCUAUAAGGCCGCUGAAGUGUCAGUUAUAUAUGGAGUGAGUUCCUUGGCCUUUGUUUUGCUGCUCAAGGGCAACUGGAGCAAGGAGCAUCCACGAAGUGUAAAUGGAAACAAACACAAGACGCCAUAUUACUUUGGUCCAUUUAAACCCAUUUCACCCCGGUAGCUGGUGCUGUUUGGAUUAUCUGCCUUAUGGUUCACCAGACAACAAGACUUUUAACAUGGCUGAUAAAGGAGGUUCAAUAAACCUGGUGCUUUGGAGGGGACAUAAAAAAGAAGUCGCUGACAGCUGAAUUAAAAUAGACGAAGUGUUACAGUUACAAGAAAAACUUCAUGAUACAUACAGCUACGCAUAUUUCUAUCACAGCAAAGAUAAUAGCACAUAAGACUGAAAUUGAACCA